GGAAGAAAAUAGUGUGAAUAUUAUGGUGCCUGCACUUCAACACAAAUGGUGAUCACCACACUGUGUUUUCAUCCACAAAGUUGCACAAUUUUCACAGCAAUUCGUAAGUUGGAGUAACAAAUUAAAGAUUUUCAGUGACAAUCAGUUAAAACCCAAAGUGACUGAAAUAAUGUUUUUCAAAAUCAUGAUUAUAUGUAUCAUAAUAAUUGUUGUGGUUUCAUGCGCCCUAUGCAUUGUCAAUAGAAUUUAUCAGUGUAAAAAUGGCCAAAAUUAUGAAUAUGAUGAUGUAGAAUUCGCGGAAAACAAAAGGAUUAUGAACUAGGGAAUACCAUUGGAGAUCCGGAUCAAUGAGAAUUUAAACACAUAGGAACAAUAACAAAUAAUAAGAGACCUCAGAUAAGCUAGAUAUUUAGUUCAGUUAUUUCCAAAAGGUUUCAAUCAAUAGCCAAGUCGGAAUAUAUUUAGAGGUGAUAUUUUUGAGUAAUUGUAUUGUAACUAAAUCAAUGGAAACGAUACAGAAAAUCCUACUUUUAACUGUUAUUGGUUGUGCGGUAAUAUUAUUGACUGGCUUCAUUUGGCAUGAAAUUUAUAAAAGUAGAUGCGGAGAAUACAAGAUGGCAAAGAUCGAGAAAACAUGGGAUUUUGUUAUACAACAGAACAAUGCGGGAUAAUUUCGAAUCAAAAUGAUGAGAUAGCAUUAUGUUUGCUGCGUUACAUCAGGUACGAACUUAAUAAACGUAGAGCCGAAGAAAAGAUGAAGGAACACGAAGAUUGGGAUCAAUAUCUUCUGAAUGAAACCAACAAACUAUAUUACUUUACAAGAGAUCGGAUAAAUUAGGUGCUGGUGAAUAAGAUGUCCGUUGAGGAUGUGACAGGUCACUUUAUCGGGAUGGAUUUGUUCGCAGACCAAAAAAUGCGACAGCUUCCUGAUGUCGACGCGAACAUUUGAAACGUCAUCCAAGUCGUCUGCAAAUAGGGACCAGUAUUUCAGAAUGAGCAAUCAAAGAAUAUAAUUAGCAUAAUAGGUGAAGAAUAUUCUCUAUUAAAGACUUUAUUGCUACAAAUAGACCCAACCACAGAACAAUAUUGUGGAAAGUAGAAAAUCCUACAGAAUGAACUUUACAGUUUGAUUAAUAAAUGAAGAAUCUAUCAUGGCUUUAUUGAUUCAGAUAGUGAUGGGUAAUAUCUGUUGAACCUUCUGCAAAAUUGUACUAUACAUGAAAUUGAGAAUACUAGAACAUAAUGCUGGGAAUCAUGGCUGUAUUUAUACACAAUUUGGUGAUACAUAUUAAAAAAAUCAUAUUUCUUCAGGGCUACUUAAUUUAUUUCAAAAAUAAUAACAUAGUAUCCUUUAAAAAUCUUUUUAAUAUAAAAUAACAAAAUAAAAAAGAACCAGUUUUCACUGGAAAAAAUGGUUCAUUUUAAAAACUAAAUUUAAUGUAGUAAGCAUACGAAACUGGUUGUUUUAGUUUUGCUAUUUAUAUUGGAACGUUUUUAAGAGGGUACUAUGGUAUUAUUUUUCAAAUAUAUAUUGAAACUUCAAAAAAGGUAUAAUAUUCGAAAUUUUGAACCAUUCGUACAGUUUUAUACGUGAUUCUUAGAGGAAAAGAUUACCAAAAUUGUAAAGGCAAAGCCAAAUGAAGUAAAAUGUAGGGGAUGAUUUUUGAGAGGUGGGUACUGUUUAUUUAUUUUUUAUUUAUUAGGUUGAUAGGCUCAAGUAUUCUCAACAAAUAAUAGUAAUUAUGUUUACAAAAUCCAUUUCAUGGAUUGUGGAAUCUCUUAAAACAGUGUAAUGAGAGUAAUUAAAUGUAUUUAAUACAUUGUGAUGCAGAAAAACACAGCUUAGUUUGAAAAGCAUAAUCUAUGUUGCAUAGAUCCAGUAAAAUUAUGGAAGUGUCAAACUUAAACAGUUUCAUCAUAUAAUGUAGUUUCAAACUUGAAGAGUUUAAAACCUUCAAAUUAAAUUAUUUAUUAUGUUUUAUUCAAUGUGAUGUAGAAAUAAAUUUGAUGUGAAAAGCAUGGA